rnacentral:rRNA from 1 species
AAUUUUCAUCCGCGCUAGCGAUAGCUAAUUUCCUCGAAAAGAUAUAAAAGUGUCGGGAAAAAUAUAAUUUAUAAUAUAAAUUAUUAUAUAUGUAUAUGUAUUUUACUAAUUUUUUUGAGGAUAAGCUCAAAAAAAAGUUAAGAAUUAUUCUUAAUUAAGUUUGCUAUAUGGGCUUAAAAUUGGCCAUUAUAAAAGUUUUUUAUAAAAUAGUAAUUUUAAUUUUACAGAUAAAUAUAAUUUAAACUAACUUUUUACGGGGAUAAAAACUUUAAUUUAAAAAAGUUUUAUGCCUAUGCUAGAAUGAGUAUUAAAACUUAAUUAUAGAAGAUUUAUUUGUAUCUUCUUCAAAAAUAAUUAAAAAAAUUAAUUAAUUAGAAGGAAUUCGGCAAAUUUAGUUGUUUCGCCUGUUUAUCAAAAACAUGGCUCUUUGAUUACAUAAAUAUAAAGAGUCGGGCCUGCCCAGUGAAAAUUAAAAUUUUUAACGGCCGCGGUACUCUGACCGUGCAAAGGUAGCAUAAUCAUUUGCCUUAUAAUUGAAGGCUAGUAUGAAUGGUUUGACGAGAGCAACACUGUCUCCUUUUUAAUUUCAAGAAUUUAACUUUUAGGUGAAGAGGCCUAAAUUUUAUUGAAGGACAAGAAGACCCUGUCGAGCUUAAAAGAUAUUGUAGGGGCUUGUAUACAUUUAAAUAAACUUUCUACCAAGCUUUUUAGUUGGGGCGACUAAGGAACAAAAAAAGCUUCUUUCUAAAAACAGACAGUCAUGUUUAGAUCCAAUAAAUUUGAUCAAAGAAAUUAGUUACCGCAGGGAUAACAGCAUAAUCUCUCUUGAGAGGCCUAAUCGAAAGAGGGGGUUGUGACCUCGAUGUUGGACUAGAAUAUCCUAAAGAUGCAGAAUCUUAAGUCUUUAAGG